AAACAGUCCUCCCCCCCCACUCUCUAUAGACAUCAGCCGUUGUGUCACACCUGCGCAAUUUUCAACAAUCAAAUCCAACUAUUUAAAAAAAUCAUUCCUUAAUUGUUAGGCUCGAAACAAAACGGUGUGUGUGCUGUUUCUCUCUACCGUCUGAUGCCAGAGGGCAGUCGGCACACGUUCGAACGAACGAACCCAAAAGGCAAAAAAAAAACUGUCGGAGAACUCCUGGCAUCUUUGUGGAGGAGAGUCUUGACCUUGCCUCCUCUCUCUCCCCUUAUAACACACACACACACAAACUGGCUUCCUCCAAAGCUUUUGCCCAUCACACACACACACUCCUAUCUUUGGGAUUCCUGUGUUUGGGUAGAGGACACACGGAGAGAGAGAGAGAGAUGAAAAAGAGUGUCUGUUUGGUUUCACGAUUGUGUUUCGGUCGAAAUUGGGUCUGCUUUUUCCGCAAUAGUAAAGAGAGAGAGAGAGAGAAUAAAGAAAACGAGAUGUUUUUGCUUGUUUCAUUUUUCAAAUUUUUUUUCCUUUUCUGGAGGAGACGCACUGUACAACAACAUUAUCGUAUAUAAAGUAGGAAGAUGUGUCUUGAAUUUGGAGGACGAGAGAAAUGAAAAACAAAUGUCGAAGAGAGAAACAAUUCAAAAAAAACAAAAGACAAAUCGUGUCUGUGUGUGUGUGUGUGUGUGUGUGUACAGCAGCAGAAAAUAUGACAAACAAUUUUUCAUUUUCAUGUUAAUUUUGUUUUUUUGUUUUCAAUAAAAAUCGAUCGUUAUUCCUUAUACGAGUCAUUUCGAAAUUUUUUUUUUUUAAAUGGCGGGAAAUGAGAAGAUGUUUAAAAAAAAAGGGGGGAAAUUAAAUUUUUUUUUAGUUGUUUUUUUAAAUUUUUUCGUAUUUUAUACCAGCAACAAACAAUGAAAGUAGGGAGAGAUUGAUAUAAAAAAAGGCCUGGGUCCGGGGUCACACACACACACACACACACAGUUUUUUUUCUUUACAUGUAUGUGUCUCUCUCGCUGUCCGUGUGUGUGUGUGUGUGUGUAAAAAUUUUUUUUUUUCUUUUUCAUUUUUUUUUUUUUUUGUAGGAAAGAGCAGGAAAAUUAUGGAACAAACAGUGAAACAACAGCAGCGACGAAAACAGUAGGGAAUUAUUAUUAAUUAUUUUUUUUUUUUGGAUA